rnacentral:rRNA from 1 species
GUGAGUAACGCGUGGGAAACCUGCCCUUCAAUGGGGGAUAACAGUUCUAACAAGCUGCUAAUACCGCAUACGACCGUUGAUCCGCAUGGUUUGACGGAGAAAGGUGGCCUCUCUUUGAAGCUGCCGUUGAAGGAUGGUCCCGCGUCCCAUUAGCUUGUUGGUGGGGUAAUGGCCUACCAAGGCGACGAUGGGUAGCCGGCCUGAGAGGGUGUCCGGCCACACUGGGACUGAGAUACGGCCCAGACUCCUACGGGAGGCAGCAGUCGAGAAGCUUCGGCAAUGGGCGAAAGCCUGACCGAGCGAUGCCGCGUGAGCGAAGAAGGCCCUAUGGGUUGUAAAGCUCUGUCAGAUUGGGAAGAAAACUCCGGGGUUAAUACCCCCGGAGUGUGACGGUACCAUCAGAGGAAGCACCGGCUAACUCCGUGCCAGCAGCCGCGGUAAUACGGA